GCAGCCGCAAAAUCGGCUGCCGGGUGUAGCAACCCGGUAAUCAGUACAGCGCACAACCGCGCUAACGCGGUUUUUUU
rfam:Erwinia tracheiphila strain BuffGH Etrach_2, whole genome shotgun sequence.